GCCCGGAGAUAGCUGGUUCUCCCCGAAAUAGCUUUAGGGCUAGCCUCAAGGUGAGAGAUACGGAGGUAGAGCACUGAAUGUCCUAGGGGGUAUUGCACCUACCGAAGACUAUCAAACUCCGAAUGCCGUCAUCUUAUACUUGGGAGUCAGACUGUGGGUGAUAAGAUUCAUAGUCGAAAGGGCAACAGCCCAGAUCGUCAGCUAAGGUCCCUAAAUGUAAGUUAAGUGGUAAAGGAUGUGGGAUUGCACAGACAACCAGGAUGUUGGCUUAGAAGCAGCCACUCAUUCAAAGAGUGCGUAAUAGCUCACUGGUCGAGUGAUCCUGCGCCGAAGAUUUCCGGGGCUAAAACUUACUACCGAAGCUACGGCAUCAGUAAUGAUGGGUAGGGGAGCUUCCCAUACAGGUUGAAGCAUGACCGUAAGGACAUGUGGACAGUAUGGGAGUGAGAAUGUUGGCAUGAGUAGCGAGAUGUGGGUGAGAAUCCCACAGGCCGUAAACCCAAGGUUUCCAGGGGAAGGUUCGUCCGCCCUGGGUUAGUCGGGACCUAAGCUGAGGCCGAAAGGCGUAGGUGAUGGACAACAGGUUGAUAUUCCUGUACUACCGAUAACCGUUUGAGAGAAGGGAUGACACAGUAGGAUAAGUUAAGCACACUGUUGGUUAUGUGUGCCCAAGCAUUGAGGCAGUCAAAG
rnacentral:rRNA from 1 species